rnacentral:rRNA from 1 species
UACGAAGGAGGCAAGCGUUAUCCGGAAUUAUUGGGCGUAAAGAGCUCGUAGGUGGUUUGUUACGUCUGCUGUGAAAACCUAGGGCUUAACCCUGGGCCUGCAGUGGAUACGGGCAGACUAGAGGUAGGUAGGGGAGAAUGGAAUUCCCGGUGUAGCGGUGAAAUGCGCAGAUAUCGGGAGGAACACCGGUGGCGAAGGCGGUUCUCUGGGCCUUACCUGACACUGAGGAGCGAAAGCGUGGGGAGCGAACAGG